AAGUCGUAACAAGGUUUCCGUAGGUGAACCUGCGGAAGGAUCAUUGAGAAUUUGGAACUUGUGGGUUUCUUUCUUUUUUUCCUUGGCUGGAGGCGCUUCGGCGCGGAAGGUUAGGGGGAAGAGGGGAGGGGCUUGCAUUUUUCUUUGUGAACUGUUUUUUGGGUUUUUGAUAUUUUUUUUGGUACUUUGUAUUUUUUUAAAAAGUUUCUUUAUAGACAACUUUCAGCAAUGGAUCUCUAGGCUCUU
rnacentral:misc_RNA from 1 species